GCCUUGGCAUUAAAAGGUUAGGUAUUGUGCAUCUAUUGCAGAUUGCAGAUCGUUUAUAGCUGUACUGUACGUGGAACCGACUGCCGAUCAAGUGCAAGAGCGCAUACAACUAAUACAAAUAUGGAUUACGAUCGUACUACUACUAGGAACGCUGCAACUGUUGGUUUAGCGACGGGUGCCUACACUGGGGCGGCCAUCGGCGCAGCCCUCGGAGGACCGCCAGGGGCGGCCAUUGGUGGACUUUUUGGCGCCGCGGUGGGCACAAUAGGGGCCGGGACUGCGACAGCGAUCGCCACGCGCCGUGACUAACAGUUAACAAGAGGACAUUGCUCUGCAAAUUUUGCAACAGUAAAUUAUAAACUGAAAUAAAUACCAUGUACUUACUAAAGCUGACAAAGCCCUCCUGUGACGGAGUAGUCUAGUGUUCCAUGGCGUUAGCCGCAUAUAUACUUAACUGAAGACGCCGUUUUGAAGAAGAGGCCCUUGUCACUUUUCCUUUGGUAUAUGACAUCAUCUAUUUCAGUUUAUAAUUUAUAUAUAGUAGUGGGACUAUUUCGAAAACACAAAUUAGAGUAGCAUUUAAUAAAAUAAUUUGAUUCGUUCUUCAGAUUUUGCGACAACAGCCAAGUAUUUUUUUCAAUCGGCAUUAGUUUUACAUAUAAAGGUGUCUUAUAAAUUAUGUUAUAUAUUUGACUAAAAA